UACGUAGGGUGCAAGCGUUAAUCGGAAUUACUGGGCGUAAAGCGUGCGCAGGCGGUUUUGUAAGUCUGACGUGAAACCCCCGGGCUCAACCUGGGAAUGGCGAUGAAGACUGCAAGGCUUGAAUCUGGCAGAGGGGGGUAGAAUUCCACGUGUAGCAGUGAAAUGCGUAGAGAUGUGGAGGAACACCGAUGGCGAAGGCAGCCCCCUGGGUCAAGAUUGACGCUCAUGCACGAAAGCGUGGGGAGCAAACAGG
rnacentral:rRNA from 1 species